UACGGGGGGGGCAAGCGUUGUUCGGAAUUACUGGGCGUAAAGGGCGCGUAGGCGGCCAGCACAAGUCAGUUGUGAAAUCUCCGAGCUUAACUCGGAAAGGUCAACUGAUACUGUGCGGCUAGAGUGCAGAAGGGGCAACUGGAAUUCUUGGUGUAGCGGUGAAAUGCGUAGAUAUCAAGAGGAACACCUGCGGCGAAGGCGGGUUGCUGGGCUGACACUGACGCUGAGGCGCGGAAAGCUAGGGGGAGCGAACGGG
rnacentral:rRNA from 1 species